rnacentral:rRNA from 1 species
UACGUAGGGUGCAAGCGUUAUCCGGAAUUAUUGGGCGUAAAGAGCUCGUAGGCGGUUUGUCGCGUCUGCUGUGAAAACUGGAGGCUCAACCUCCAGCCUGCAGUGGGUACGGGCAGACUAGAGUGCGGUAGGGGAGAUUGGAAUUCCUGGUGUAGCGGUGGAAUGCGCAGAUAUCAGGAGGAACACCGAUGGCGAAGGCAGUGGGCUGGGCCGGCACUGGACGCUGAGGAGCGAAAGCGUGGGGAGCGAACAGG